ACUUCCUGCACGAGAAGAGGAUAUGUUGUUAGAGAGGGAACUAGGAACUAGGAGCUGAUUGGAUGAUAGAAAGUGAAAAUGAGGCAUAACUGUGGAGAUGGUUAUAAGAGCUAAAGCAGCAGCUGUAAAAUCAUCAGCAACAGCGAAACAGCGAAAACAAACGGACAACAUCCACAGCAACUAAAACAGCAACAACUGAAAACAAUAAACCAAAUCCAGACAUUAACCGGCCCUGUAACAACCUCUAGGCUGAUCAAAGUAAACGCACGGAUAACUACUGACAGAUAAAAUCAAAGUUUAGCUUGUUUUCAGCGGAGGGAGGAAAGACAGAGAAAGCCCCUCGAUUAAGGGGAGAGACAAAACAAACUCUGGUCGCAUGUGGUGCCGAGUUCAAGUAUCGACCCCGAGUGCCCAGAGGAACUUGUCGGUUCCGGCAAGAUUGGCCUGUGUGGGGCAUUCGUAACAUGUUAUCUAUCGUAUUGGUUCUGUUAAUAACUGUACUGUAACGUCUAUAGAUGGGAACCCAAACAUCUUAAUGUGUUGUUUAUUUGGUUUGAAUUAUUGUGCCCUUAGCCUACAGCAAAACCUGAUAUGUACUGAUAAUACUAA